CAGUCUACACUCUACAGUUAGUUUACACGCGUUUCGGUUGAUAACUGCUAUGGAAAUAUACCAAUCUAUAUAAUCAUGGUACGAAUGGCGAAUAAUUGCUCAAGCAUAUCAACCUACAAUAUGAUAAGCUUUUACAUAUUACAAAUAUAUUUUAAAAUUACAUAUAAAACGUGCGGCGCGAGGCAAUUUCUUCAAAAACCAUUGAGCCUCAACAUUCGGUUCAGCAACGGCUGAGAAAUCACUACAUGACACGCUAUCAUACUACUGUAUAUUUU